UGUUAACUUGUCUUAUGAAAGCAAAACAGUAUAUUGUACUUCAAGUUGAAAAAACAGAAUGCUUGUGUAAUGGUUGUCUUGGAAAGAAAUCCCUCAGUCCCCAGAUGAAUAGUGAAAUGCUGGAAAAAGACUACUGCUGUGAGGAAGCAAACCUCCUAACAAUCUGCUGACCUCCAGAUACGUGUUCUUUUGAGUAGUACCUCAGUUAUAUCUUGAUGUGGGCACAGGACACAGUUUUCCUUCCAGCAUCUCAGCAGAGCUGUCAGUGAUUACUGAGUAGAAGAAAUUCAUAGCUGUGGAGUUUUCCAAAAGAAACUAAUAACUACCAAGGCAAGCAUGCAAGAAGAUGGAAAUUGCUUGUCAUAGACUAUGUACAUAGACUGUACAUAGCAUGUGUACAGUCAGGGCUGACAAGGAAGGAAACCCAGACACUGAAACACAAGCUAUUUCUUAUGUGCAGAAACCUACCAGAGCAAGCUGCAUUCUUUUCAAAUUUAUGGCAGGAAGAAGUAUCAGCAGAUGCAGCUCCUACAGCUCCAAUUGAGAAGUUUCUGAGUUUCACAGAGCUUUCCAUUCCCUAUCCCUCCUUCCCUGGACGGUGGAGAAAUGUUAGAAGCAGCAGAUCUCAUCUGACAGUAAGAGGCACAAGCCACCCUUGCUGGAAAAGACAGGAUGCUGAGGAGAUCUGCACUGCUUCAGAUCACUCCUCCCAGCUACAAAAAUACAUGAACAGUAGCUGUUCACUUCAAAGAAGCAUUAUGGAGACAAGGGCCUUCCUUUCCUUUCAUUCUGCUCUGCAAAAGUCUUUAGCAGCUUAUACGAGAUGAGAGAUAGUGGUGACAUGCUGCAGCUCUGUAUGACUCACCACUAACACCUUGGGAAAACAUUUUGAAAACAACAUUGAAUUUUCUGUCAAUCAUAAUCCACACAGACCACGUACACUAACUAGGAAAGUGAAAAUUGUAAGAUUGGUCAUUUGGUCUCCAUCUAUUCUAAGUGUUACUACGGCAAAAUAGUCUGAAUUUAAAUAUUGUUUCACUAGCUUAAAAUACCUUAAGUAAAGAUAAGAUAAAGUUGCCCCUCUAUACUGGAUUAUCUCUUUCCUGUGAUAUAUUAUUGAUAUACUGUAUGUAUACUUAAUUGUCUAAGAGUAAACCAAAUGGUUUAGCACGUAAACCACUGAAAAAUAAAGAGAGUAAAAGAGAAUCUGUAUAGCUUUGGAUAUAAUAUUUCUUGAAUUCUACAUGUACACUUCACUGUUCUAAACAUUAAUUGAAAAUAUAAUUUUAUAUUUAUAUUCAAAAUUUGAAGGUAAUUCACAAUGCAAGGAAAGCUUAUAAGCAAAGUGUUGGAGUGUAAUUUGAAUCUUUAUAAUAAUAUAACAUUUUUGUGUUUUAUUAUACUUCUGUGCUAAUAUUUAUAAUCCAAAGUGUAUAAAAUAUUUAUGUGCUUGUGAGAUAAGCAGCAUAAUUGUAAAUAAUUUUCAA